GACGAACGCUGGCGGCGUGCUUAACACAUGCAAGUCGAACGGUAAGGCCCUUCGGGGUACACGAGUGGCGAACGGGUGAGUAACACGUGGGUGAUCUGCCCUGCACUUCGGGAUAAGCCUGGGAAACUGGGUCUAAUACCGGAUAGGACUCCUGGCUUCAUGGUUGGGGGUGUAAAGCUUUUGCGGUGUGGGAUGGGCCCGCGGCCUAUCAGCUUGUUGGUGGGGUAAUGGCCUACCAAGGCGACGACGGGUAGCCGGCCUGAGAGGGUGACCGGCCACACUGGGACUGAGAUACGGCCCAGACUCCUACGGGAGGCAGCAGUGGGGAAUAUUGCACAAUGGGCGCAAGCCUGAUGCAGCGACGCCGCGUGAGGGAUGACGGCCUUCGGGUUGUAAACCU
rnacentral:rRNA from 1 species